GUGGGGAAUCUUGCGCAAUGGGCGAAAGCCUGACGCAGCCAUGCCGCGUGAAUGAUGAAGGUCUUAGGAUUGUAAAAUUCUUUCACCGGGGACGAUAAUGACGGUACCCGGAGAAGAAGCUCCGGCUAACUUCGUGCCAGCAGCCGCGGUAAUACGAAGGGGGCUAGCGUUGCUCGGAAUUACUGGGCGUAAAGGGCGAGUAGGCGGACAGCUUAGUCAGAGGUGAAAGCCCAGGGCUCAACCUUGGAAUUGCCUUUGAUACUGGCUGUCUUGAGUUUGGGAGAGGUGAGUGGAACUCCGAGUGUAGAGGUGAAAUUCGUAGAUAUUCGGAAGAACACCAGUGGCGAAGGCGACUCACUGGCCCAAUACUGACGCUGAGGCGCGAAAGCGUGGGGAGCAAACAGGAUUAGAUACCCGAGUAGUCC
rnacentral:rRNA from 1 species